rnacentral:piRNA from 1 species
UGCAUUAUACCUCAUGUGCUAGGAGA